CUCUCACCUCUUUCUCAGCGGAAUUCCUCACCUCUCUCUCUGGUUUUUUUCUUUGUAAGUUUUCAUGGAGAUCGAGUCUGCUCAUUGACUUCCUUUCUCAUAUUUUUCCUUAUUCCUUCUCAACCUUCCUCCAUCGUCUUUUUCUACAAAGUCUUCAGAUCCGGAAGGUGGAGUACAACUCAAUACCCUCAAAAGAUAAUCGACUUCAAUUGUAAAAUCCUUCUCGCUACCAACUGGGGUGCGGAUUACUUCAACUGGUUCCUAUUGUGAUUCCUGAUGAUGAUGGUGUGGUGGUUGUGAUGAAGCAGAAGAUGGUCAGUUUGCUAAGAAGACUUCUCGUUACACUGUUGUCUAUUUUGUGAGGUCAGGGAUUUUCUGAUAUCAUGAGUUGAUGUUGUUUCUGUUUGGGUGGUGGUUGAGAAGGAAUUUCAUUGUUUCUGUUCAGGUGGUGAUUUUGAGGAAUUGGUAUGGAUCGUCUUCAGUGGAUGAACCAAUUUGCUUACUACAAGAGCAUAAUGGACCUGCUUAAUUAUGAUGUCAAAUUCUUUGGUGAUGGAGAUGAUUCUAUACAGUUGAGCAGGGUGACCGACUAUUUCGCAAGCCAUUCACUCAUUAGCAAGGAAAUACGUACCUCGACUAGCUCGAUGAGUUUUGUUACAAAACCACUUAAGUUUCUCCGCCCAUAUUAUGGAACAUUAGAUACUUUCUAACAAUGGAAGAUUCAGAGUUGAAGUGCAGGAAUGCCUAGCCGACACACUUUCCGUUUUGGAAGAUUCAGAGUUCAAGAAAUACCUAGCUGACACACUUUCUGUUUUGGCAUUAACAACGUCUGUCGAAGUAGAAGGGGUAGGUGAAAGCUUCAAAGUUUACUCUUUGUUUUUGCAGUCACAGUUUGAAGUUUAAUAAGGGAUAACCUUGAAUUUUAAUUAUAACAAUAGAUGAAGUUAUAUGGCAUGUUUUUCAUUUAAGGGUCAUUCUAAUCUGGCUACUGACAUAGUUUUCUACUAAAAUACCUGAUUAAAUAGUUCAAACAAUUGAACUGGUUUGUGUUUGUUCAGUUUGCAUGUUCUGCAUCUGCUGGAGAAACUAAAUAAUUUGUUCUCCGGUUGGGUGAGAUUAGUUAGGAGAUGGGAAGAUAUACAAAGAGCCUAAAAGUGAGAGCAGUAAUCGAUAGAGUAACAUUCUCUCCAGAUCUUACUAUCUGGAAAGCAUUUCCUGCACACUUCACACACUUCUUCAUAAGAGUGGUGACCUUCCUGGUCCUUGUUUACAUCUUAGAUCACCGAUAUUGAAACUUCUUCUUAAAACGACAUAUUUCUUAUUUCCUGUUUUUCUCCAGCUUUCAAGUAUCACACUUUGUAUAAGAUUUGAAGUUCAUUUGUUCAAUUGCGGUAAUUGGUUUCAUUAACUUUAUGACUGCGUUUUUUUUUAAGGCUUUAUCUAUUAUGGUUCUGGGAAGUUACCCUUUCAUAACUAAGCUAUCUGGACCCAGAUUUUCCUUAUGCAUAAAUAUUGCAUCUCUUCUAAAGAGUUUUUUUAAUCGGUAAGUCCAAGCUCAAAGUUGAAUGGUUUCUUUACUCUAGUUUCAAGACUGCUAACUUUGGGUCCUAAAUGACUACACAGACUUCUAUUUUCACUGGCUUUGUCAUCCUACAAAACACCACAUUAAGUCUCCCUCUCACCCUUGGUUUCGUUUUGUCUCGGAUUUUAACUGUUACAUUAGAUGGUUUUAUAACUUCGAUAAUGGAUCAUUUGUACUGAUACAUAAUCAUUACAAAUGGUUUUAUAACUGAUACAUAAUCAUUUGUUAUUGAGGGUCAUUGGUCUGUAGCAUAAUGGAUCUUUAGUACUCUCUAAGUGGCAGCAAAGACUAUUGAUUAAUGUUUCUCUUGCUGACAGAUUAUGGGUGCUGUUCCGUCUCUUUCAAACUUUGGAGAAGAUUGGCAAUGCAGAACUUGAAGUUUGAACUUCUAAGUAGAUUUGGUUUUUUUAGUUCCCCAUUUGGUAUUUCCUGGUGUGAUUGCUGGUGCAUGAUGAUCUGAUUCUUCUUGGUUUUUGUAUUACUAUGACUGGAUUAGCUUGCAUAUAUACCUAUAGUUGCUCCCUACUUCUCUCAUGUUUAGGUACUCUUACAGUGUCAUAUGCCCUGUAAUCUUUUUGAACUUGUCGGGAAGUUACUCAUUUUUGCUUGUUUGAACUUAUCUUUCAGGUUUUAAACUCGGGUCUACGAAACAUAUAGCAGAAGAAAUAGUGAAAAAGGACAGUGUCGUAAGGUUGACUACUGUGGUUGAAGGACUAGCUGUGCUGAAAACAACCCAGAUAAGUCAUGCGCCGUACUCAGGGGUGUGUUAUACUUGGCAGACACGGGGCUCACAACAAAAUAAAUGGGUAUGUACAGAUUUUAUUGCAAAUAGUUGAAUCUAAAUGCUAUUGUGCAUUCCAAGGGUUACUUGUUGAAGACGGAUUCGAUUAUAUGAAAGUGCCAUUUGUAUCAAAGCUCAUCAAAGAAGUUUGAGAUAUGGGGAUUGAGAAACACAGAUAAUGGACAAGCUCUGCGCGGACUCAGGUUUUAAACUUGGGUUUGCGGAAUAUACAUCAGAAGAAAUAGUGAUCUCCAAGGAAGCAUUGGUACUUGGAUUUCGAAUCUCCAAUAAGAUCAGACCCCAACAAGAAUGCUUAUGAAGAUCCAUUUGUCUUCACUGGAAUUGCGAAUGAAGCUCCUCAAUUUCGGCAACUGUUGGAGAUGAUGAGUAUUGGGAUAGAGAUAUUCAGGUAAUAAUGCUGGUUUCUAACACUUGUUUAGUGGCUUUUCUUUUAAGAUUUACAUUGGUCAGAAAUCAAGAUUUUUAUCCUUUUUGUGAAAUUGGAACCCAAUGAAUAAAUGAAUGUUAAAUUGAAUAAUGUUUUCUGUGCAAGUUUAAUUUGAUUUGAAUUUGGGUCUCAUUUGAGUUUUACUUGAUUCUCAUUUGAAUUCUAAUUUGAGUUUCAUUUGAUUCUCAUUUGAAUUCUGGUUUGAGUUUCAUUUGGGUUUGAUUUGAGAUUUAGUCAGAUUCAGUCAGGCCAGACAACCAAAACUGAGCUAUCUUCUAGAGCGAAAUUAUUGAUAAUAUAAAGAAUUGGUUGAGGUUUGGUUGAGGUUGAAGAAUUGUCCAAGGCUGAGGAAAUUAUUGAUGAUAUAAAGAAGCAGUUAUCUGAGCUAUCUUCUAGAGCGAAUGAAGUCACUAAGCUCCGCGCGAAAAAUGAAGAGCUUAGAGGUAAGAUUCUUUGCAACAUCAUGAUUUUUUGCAUAGUUUUGCUUUCGCACUAUACCUUUUGAUCUUAGGUCCUUCAUACUUAAGCUUUAAACCGAAAACGUAUGUCUGAGCGAUAUGAGUUUAAAUUAGUCGCGAAUGAUGCUCGUGCGGAGUGCGAUGUCCUUAAGGCUCUAAUUUCCCAAUUGGAGGGCGAUCGUAUGAGUCUACGCGGUCGGGUAUCAGGUCUUUAAAUAGACAAUUCUGGUUGGGGUGCUCGUUUGGGUCAGCAUUGUGCUCUAUCUGGUCAACUUGCGAGAUCUCUAGAGGUGUCUAAUAUGUUGAAUCGUGCUCUCCAUUGAUGAGAACCACACUUUAUCCGAUGACAAUCGCGGUUUAAAGAAUAACAAGCUUUCUUUUGAUAAUGCAUACUAUUGGCUUUCUAGGGAUCGUAAUUUGUUGGAGAAUUCCCUUCAGUUUCAAAAGGAUAUACCAAAUGAUCUGUCGUCCGAGUUAGCGAAACUGUCGAAGGAGAGGGAUGAAGCCAGUCAGAGUAGAGAUCAAGCUUUAGAAGAUCUUCGGUUAUCUCAAAGUGUUAACCAUAUUCUGUUAUUUCACAUGAUUUUCGUGUAGUUGUUUCACGAAGCAAAGAGGAGGUAGCCGCGCUAUAGAAAAGGCUGGCGUCUUCUCAGGAAUGAUUGACCAAAGCUUUUAAGGUGCGAGACUCCGUGUCUCGACAGUUCUUUGCGUCUUCCCGUUUAGUGACUGAAGUCUCACAGGAGCGUGAUGAUUUAAGGAGGGCGAAGGAGGAGUUGGAGCAUUCUUAUUUGGUUCUGGAUCAGGAGUAUCAAUCUUUCGCGGAUGAAGCUGAAAGGAAAUACUUUAAGUCAUCCCAGUGUCGUGUUAACGAGGAGUCCCAAAUCGCGGUUAAUUGUGUUUGCGAGAAGCAUAAUCUUCUACUUGACGUGUACCCUCAAGUUCCUGUUAGUGAUGAUAAAGAAGAGGAGGUUCUGGUCGAGAAAUGAUGUGGCGCGAAUGUCGUGACACCUGAUGCCGCGAAUGAUGGCGAUGGUAAAAGAAAGGGGAAUCCUUCUCAGGUUGGUGAGGAUGUUUUGAAUCAACAGCUUGAUGUUGAUACCUCCGCUCACUCUUCUGUUGUUGCAUCUGACGCUUCUUCUUUGUAGAUGGUAUCUUUGUUGUUUUUAACUUACUCUUGGUUCUGGGUGCUCCCAAGCUUAGGGGGCAAAGUUUGACUUGAUUGUUUCCUUUUAUUUCUGCAAUUUCAGUUAGAAUAAAUAGAACAAGUACUUUUAAUCUUAUCA